CCUACGGGAGGCAGCAGUGAGGAAUAUUGGUCAAUGGACGAGAGUCUGAACCAGCUAAGUAGCGUGAAGGAUGACUGCCCUAUGGGUUGUAAACUUCUUUUAUAUGGGAAUAAAAUGUUCCACGUGUGGGAUUUUGUAUGUACCAUAUGAAUAAGGAUCGGCUAACUCCGUUACAGCAGCCGCGGUAAUACGGAGGAUCCGGGCGUUAUCCGGAUUUUUUGGGUUUAACGGGAGCGUAGGUGGAUUGUUAAGUCAGUUGUGAAAGUUUGCGGCUCAACCGUAAAAUUGCAGUUGAAACUGGCAGUCUGAGUACAGUAGAGGUGGGCGGAAUUCGAGGUGUAGCGGUGAAAUGCUUAGAUAUCACGAAGAACUCCGAUUGCGAAGGCAGCUCACUGGACUGCAACUGACACUGAGGCUCGAAAGUGUGGGUAUCAAACAGGAUUAGAUACCCGAGUAGUC
rnacentral:rRNA from 1 species